rnacentral:rRNA from 1 species
UACGUAGGGUGCGAGCGUUGUCCGGAAUUAUUGGGCGUAAAGAGCUUGUAGGCGGUCUGUCGCGUCUGCUGUGAAAAUCCGGGGCUCAACCCCGGACUUGCAGUGGGUACGGGCAGACUAGAGUGUGGUAGGGGAGACUGGAAUUCCUGGUGUAGCGGUGAAAUGCGCAGAUAUCAGGAGGAACACCGAUGGCGAAGGCAGGUCUCUGGGCCACUACUGGCGCUGAGAAGCGAAAGCGUGGGGAGCGAACAGG